rnacentral:rRNA from 1 species
AGAACGAACGCUGGCGGCAGGCUCAACACAUGCAAGUCGAGCGCCCCGCAAGGGGAGCGGCAGACGGGUGAGUAACGCGUGGGAACAUACCCUCCGGUUCGGAAUAGCUCAGGGAAACUUGGAUUAAUACCGGAUACGGCCUAGCGGCGAAAGAUUGAUCGCCGGAGGAUUGGCCCGCGUCUGAUUAGCUAGUUGGUGGGGUAAUGGCCCACCAAGGCGACGAUCAGUAGCUGGUCUGAGAGGAUGAUCAGCCACAUUGGGACUGAGACACGGCCCAAACUCCUACGGGAGGCAGCAGUGGGGAAUAUUGGACAAUGGGCGCAAGCCUGAUCCAGCCAUGCCGCGUGAGUGAUGACGGCCUUAGGGUUGUAAAGCUCUUUCGCUAGGGACGAUAAAUGACGGUACCUAGACAAGAAGCCCCGGCUAAACUUCGCGCCAGCAGCCGC